UGACCUCGGAUCAGGUAGGGAUACCCGCUGAACUUAAGCAUAUCAAUAAGCGGAGGAAAAGAAACCAACAGGGAUUGCCCUAGUAACGGCGAGUGAAGCGGCAACAGCUCAAAUUUGAAAUCUGGCUCUUUCAGAGUCCGAGUUGUAAUUUGCAGAGGGCGCUUUGGCUUUGGCAGCGGUCCAAGUUCCUUGGAACAGGACGUCACAGAGGGUGAGAAUCCCGUACGUGGUCGCUAGCUAUUGCCGUGUAAAGCCCCUUCGACGAGUCGAGUUGUUUGGGAAUGCAGCUCUAAAUGGGAGGUAAAUUUCUUCUAAAGCUAAAUAUUGGCCAGAGACCGAUAGCGCACAAGUAGAGUGAUCGAAAGAUGAAAAGCACUUUGGA
rnacentral:ncRNA from 1 species